AAUGAACGUUGGCGGCGUGGAUUAGGCAUGCAAGUCGUGCGGAAAGGCUCCUUCGGGAGUACUCGAGCGGCGUAAGGGAGAGUAACGCGUGGAUAUCUACCCCCUGGACUGGGAUAGCGGCGGGAAACUGCCGGUAAUACCAGAUAAUGUCUGCGGACCAAAGGUGUGAUUCCGCCGGGGGAUGAGUUCGCGUCCUAUUAGCUAGUUGGUAGGGUAAUGGCCUACCAAGGCAAAGAUGGGUACCGGGUGUGAGAGCAUGGCCCGGCUCACUGGGACUGAGACACUGCCCAGACACCUACGGGUGGCUGCAGUCGAGAAUCUUCGGCAAUGGGCGCAAGCCUGACCGAGCGACGCCGCGUGCGGGAUGAAGGCCUUCGGGUUGUAAACCGCUGUCAGAGGGGAGGAAAUGCGUGAGAGUUCUCUCUCACGUUUGACCUAUCCUCAGAGGAAGUACGGGCUAAGUUCGUGCCAGCAGCCGCCGUAAUAC
rnacentral:rRNA from 1 species